AUUAACAAAAAUAUGUCAAUUGCUUAAGGAAAAUUUGAAUGGUCUGUACAACUAAAGGAAUGAAUAGAGACAUCUUGGUCCUACUUCUCGUCCAUGUCUCACCGGAAAUAUAUUCUUUGGAUAAUAAGGUUUGUGUCUGGGAUGCAUGUAGAGGCUUGGAGUUAAAGGUGAAGAAUCUGAUAUCCUUGAGGGGAAUAUUGGAGCAGCAAAAUUCUGCAGUCAGAGAGACAUGAUACCAGGUCAAGAAAGUGAUGGGAGUUCAGCUACAAACAAUACUGAAAAGUAAAUACGUGGUGUAUCUCAUUGAACAAAUGAAAGGUUGACAAAAUAAAUUAAAUGUGGCAGAUUCUGUCAUUUCCAUUUGGAUGGAAGUUCAAUACACAUGGGCUCAUCUAGAAAGUAUUUUCAUUGACUCUGAUGAUAUCAGAAGCCAUUUGCCUGAAGAUGUACAUAGACUUGACAAAAUCAAUACAGGCUUCAGAGAAUGACACAACAAAAACAAAAAUGUGAUAGAAGUUACCACCAAGCCAUAGAUGUAUGAAAAAUUGAAGAUUUGCAGCACAGACUUCCUCUUUGGAAAAAAGCUCUGGGUGGAUAUUUAGAAACCAAGCACAUAGCAUUUCCUCACUUCUAUUUUGUUUCUUCAACAGACUUGCCAGCUACUCUUCCAAUAGGAACACAGGUGGAACAGACCAUGAAUAUUGAAUCAGUAAAAUCUUGCAAAUUUCAUCUGAAGUCUUUUGUAAAUGCAUUAAGGGAGUAGAGAGAAUAACAUUAAAUCACUCGUGUAAUAUACUACGUCAACAUAACUUCCUCUUCAAGAUGUAGUAAU